rnacentral:rRNA from 1 species
UACAGAGGGUGCGAGCGUUGUCCGGAAUCACUGGGCGUAAAGGGCGCGUAGGUGGCGGGCCAAGUCCAUGGUGAAAGCUCGAUGCUCAACAUCGAGUCGGCCACGGAUACUGGUUUGCUGGAGCACUGUAGAGGCAGAUGGAAUUCCGGGUGUAGCGGUGGAAUGCGUAGAGAUCAGGAGGAACACCUAUAGCGAAGGCAGCUUGCUGGGACGUUACUGACGCUGAGACGCGAAAGCGUGGGGAGCAAACAGG